AACGAACGCUGGCGGCAUGCCUAACACAUGCAAGUCGAACGAGACCUUCGGGUCUAGUGGCGCACGGGUGCGUAACGCGUGGGAAUCUGCCCUUGGGUUCGGGAUAACAGUUGGAAACGACUGCUAAUACCGGAUGAUGACUUCGGUCCAAAGAUUUAUCGCCCAGGGAUGAGCCCGCGUCGGAUUAGCUAGUUGGUGAGGUAAGAGCUCACCAAGGCGACGAUCCGUAGCUGGUCUGAGAGGAUGAUCAGCCACACUGGGACUGAGACACGGCCCAGACUCCUACGGGAGGCAGCAGUGGGGAAUAUUGGACAAUGGGCGAAAGCCUGAUCCAGCAAUACCGCGUGAGUGAUGAAGGCCUUAGGGUUGUAAAGCUCUUUUACCCGGGAUGAUAAUGACAGUACCGGGAGAAUAAGCCCCGGCUAACUCCGUG
rnacentral:rRNA from 1 species